rnacentral:tRNA from 1 species
AAGAAACUAGUUAAUACUCUAUAACACAGGAUUGUCAAUUCUGAAUAACUUUAUGAAGUGUUUCUUG